rnacentral:rRNA from 1 species
CCUACGGGUGGCAGCAGUGAGGAAUAUUGGUCAAUGGACGCAAGUCUGAACCAGCCAUGUCGCGUGCAGGAAGACUGCCCUACGAGUUGUAAACUUCUUUUGUACGAGGGUAAACGCAGACACGUGUACCUUUUUGUAAGUACUGUAUGAAUAAGGAUCGGCUAACUCCGUGCCAGCAGCCGCGGUAAUACGGAGGAUCCGAGCGUUAUCCGGAUUUAUUGGGUUUAAAGGGUGCGUAGGCGGUCGGUUAAGUUAGUGGUGAAAGUCCGAGGCUCAACUUCAGAAUUGCAGUUGAUACUGGUCGGCUAGAGUGUAGUAGAGGUAGGCGGAAUGUGUGGUGUAGCGGUGAAAUGCUUAGAGAUCAUGCAGAACACCGAUUGCGAAGGCAGCUUACCAGACUGCUACUGACAUUGAGGCACGAAAGCGUGGGGAGCAAACAGGAUUAGAUACCCCUGUAGUC